AUGGUGCUAGCGCAGCUCGGCGGGAGCCUCUCCCGCGCGCUGGCGCGGAUGACGAGCGCCACGGUCGUCGACGAGAGGGUCCUCGGCGACUGCCUCAACGAGAUCACCCGCGCGCUCCUGCAGGCCGACGUCCAGUUCGACAUGGUCCGCGGCAUGCAGGCCAGCGUCAAGCGCGCCAUCGACCUCGGGACGCUCGCCGCCGGCACCGACAAGCGCCGCGUCAUCAAGGGGGCCGUCGUCGAUGAGCUGUGCAACAUGUUGGACGCCGGGAAGCCCGCCUUCGCUCCCAAGAAAGGGAAGCCGUGCGUGGUUAUGUUUGUUGGUUUGCAAGGUUCUGGGAAAACUACCACUUGUAUGAAAUAUGCUCAUUAUCAUCAGAAGAUAGGAUUCAAACCAGCACUGGUUUGUGCUGAUACAUUCAGGGCUGGUGCUUUUGAUCAGUUAAAACAGAAUGCGACAAAGAUCAUGGUUCCUUUUUAUGGAAGCUACAUGGAAUCUGAUCCAGUAAAAAUUGCUGCUGAGGGCGUGGAGAGGUUUAGAAAAGAAAAUUGCGAUCUCAUAAUUGUAGAUACAAGUGGAAGGCACAAACAAGAAGCAGCCCUCUUUGAAGAAAUGCGCCAAGUUUCAGAAGCAACGAAACCAGACCUGGUAAUAUUUGUGAUGGACAGUAGCAUUGGUCAGGCUGCCUUUGCUCAGGCCCAAGCAUUCAGGCAAAGUGUUCCGGUUGGUGCUGUAAUUGUUACAAAAAUGGAUGGCCAUGCGAAAGGAGGUGGCGCACUUAGCGCUGUCGCAGCAACGAAAAGUCCAGUGAUAUUUAUUGGAACUGGAGAACACAAAGACGAGCUAGAAGAUUUUGAUGUGAGACCAUUUGUUGGUCGCCUAUUAGGUAUGGGAGAUUUGCCAGGCUUGAUGAAGAAGGCUCGUCAAGUCGUACCCGCUGAUCAACAACCUGACCUUAUGAAGAGACUGAUGGAAGGAAACUUUACUCUGAGACUUAUGUACGAGCAAUUCCAGAACCUUGGUAAAAUUGGCUCUAUUGACCAGAUCUUCUCCAUGUUGCCUGGAUUUAGUUCUGAAUUGAUGCCACAAGGACAUGAGAAGCAGGGUGAGGCCAAGAUAAAGCGGUAUAUGACGAUGAUGGAUUCCAUGACAGACGCAGAGCUUGACAGCGAAAAUCCGAAGCUGAUGAAGGAAUCCCGAAUUAUUCGGAUUGCUCGGGGAUCUGGCCGGCCUGUCAAGGAUGUCUUGGACAUGCUGGAAGAAUACAAACGGCUUGCGAAGGUGUGGACCAAUGUAAUAAAACGGCUAAGGAAGUCAAACAAAGGAAACACGAAUGCUCAGCACAUCAGCAAGUCUCUCCCUCCAGAGCUACUGACUCAGAUAGGCGGCAUUGGUGGAUUACGGUCUCUGCUGAAUCAGACGGUCUCAAAAGAAAUGGGCGGUGGUGAUAGGUAA
rnacentral:rRNA from 1 species